GGGAGAAUAUAGUGCCAAUUCCCCUGUGGGCAGGUGAGAGGAACUGAACCCCUUUCACGGGGACAUUAAUAAGGUAGUAUGGGCUGCUAUGAUUUCAUUAUAUUGACGCAACCCUUGUCUACACCUCCAUCUCCGCUGGCCCACCCAGUGUUGUUGAGUGCUUGGUUCAGAAUUUGAGAUAUGGACGAGAGCUGGCUGCCUGAAGUUCUGUCCAGAUAAGAUUGAGGUGAUGCUUCUGGGAUGAGAAGAACUUAAAAGAUGGUUAUACCUGAGAGGUCUUCUUCUUCGGCUAUCCCUUGAUGCGAGGAUCAUGUCUGCCAAGGGGGUUCACUGAUUUUGUUUGGAGACAGCAGAGAUUGAGGGGUUGACCAUCCAUAUGAUACUCAAUCCCGAUUCCAUCAGGAAGGCAAUCACGGAUGAGAAUCAGGAUCACGGCAAGGUAAAUGGAGAAGAGUGUUAGAGCAAUGACACACCCUGAUUGGCAUCAGUGCAAAUGAUGAAUGGUUUGGUCUCUGAGAAUGGUGGCAGUCAUCCCAUCAUGGAGUAAUCCGAUGAUGCAAAUUAAUUUCUGGAUCCUACUAAACCGCCUUCUCCCCCUUGCUGAGGAACUCCUCCCCGAAUCACAGUGUGGCUUCAGGCCAUCCCAGGCACAACUGACAUGAGCUUCGUGGCAUGAUAGAUUCAGGAGAAGUGCAGAGAGCAACACCAGGAACUGUUCACAGCUUACAUCGACCUAACCAAAGCCGUUGAUUCUAUCAGUUGUGAUGCC